UGUCAGUCAAACAACCAGAAAGAUUUCAACAACAUUUUAAUUCAGCAGAAACUACAGAAACGAAAUCAGUUCUUCCUCCUGUGAACGUGGUCUUCACUCAGAACAUCGAUAUCAUGACAGAGAACAGUCUGAACAACUGCAGCAGUCUGCAACAGUCAGGAACAGUCAGGAACAGUCUGCAACGGUCAGGAACAGUCAGGAACGGUCAGAAACAGUCAGGAACUGUCAGGAACGGUCAGGAACAGUCUGCAACAGUCAGGAACAGUCAGGAACAGUCAGGAACAGUCAGAAACGGUCAGAAACAGUCAGGAACAGUCAGGAACGGUCAGGAACAGUCAGAAACAGUCAGGAACAGUCUGCAACAGUCAGGAACAGUCUGCAACAGUCAGGAACAGUCAGGAACAGUCAGGAACAGUCAGAAACAGUCAGGUCAAACAGUCAGAAACAGUCAGAAACAGUCAGAAACAGUCCGAAACAGUCAGGAACAGUCAGGAACAGUCAGGUCAAACAGUCAGAAACAGUCAGAAACAGUCAGAAACAGUCAGGAACAGUCUGCAACAGUCAGAAACAGUCAGGAACAGUCUGAACAACUGCAGCAGUCAGGAACAGUCAGAAACAGUCAGGAACAGUCAGAAACGGUCAGAAACAGUCAGGAACAGUCAGGAACGGUCAGGAACAGUCUGCAACAGUCAGGAACAGUCAGAAACAGUCAGGAACGGUCAGGAACAGUCUGCAACAGUCAGGAACAGUCUGCAACAGUCAGGAACAGUCAGGAACAGUCAGGAACAGUCAGAAACAGUCAGGUCAAACAGUCAGAAACAGUCAGAAACAGUCAGAAACAGUCAGGAACAGUCAGGAACAGUCAGGUCAAACAGUCAGAAACAGUCAGAAACAGUCAGGAACAGUCUGCAACAGUCAGGAACAGUCAGGAACAAUCAGGAACAGUCAGAAACAGUCAGGUCAAACAGUCAGAAACAGUCCGAAACAGUCCGAAACAGUCAGAAACAGUCAGGAACAGUCAGGUCAAACAGUCAGAAACAGUCAGAAACAGUCAGAAACAGUCAGAAACAGUCAGAAACAGUCAGGAACAGUCUGCAACAGUCAGGAACAGUCAGGAACAGUCAGGAACAGUCAGAAACAGUCAGGUCAAACAGUCAGAAACAGUCCGAAACAGUCAGGAACAGUCAGGAACAGUCAGGUCAAACAGUCAGAAACAGUCAGAAACAGUCCGAAACAGUCAGGAACAGUCAGGAACAGUCAGGUCAAACAGUCAGAAACAGUCAGAAACAGUCUGCAACAGUCAGAAACAGUCAGAAACAGCCAGGAACAGUCAGGAACAGUCAGAAACAGUCAGGAACAGUCUGCAACAGUCAGGAACAGUCAGGAACAGUCUGCAACAGUCAGGAACAGUCAGGAACAGUCAGAAACGGUCAGAAACAGUCAGGAACAGUCAGGAACGGUCAGAAACAGUCAGGAACAGUCAGAAACAGUCAGGAACAGUCAGGUCAAACAGUCUGCAACAGUCAGGAACAGUCAGGAACAGUCAGGAACAGUCAGGAACAGUCAGGAACAGUCAGAAACAGUCAGGAACAGUCAGAAACAGUCAGGAACAGUCAGGUCAAACAGUCUGCAACAGUCAGGAACAGUCAGGAACAGUCAGGAACGGUCAGGAACAGUCAGGAACAGUCAGAAACAGUCAGGAACAGUCAGGUCAAACAGUCUGCAACAGUCAGGAACAGUCAGGAACAGUCAGGAACAGUCAGGAACAGUCAGAAACAGUCAGGAACAGUCAGGUCAAACAGUCUGCAACAGUCAGGAACAGUCAGGAACAGUCAGAAACAGUCAGGAAUGGUCAGGAACAGUCAGGUCAAACAGUCAGGAACAGUCAGGAACAGUCAGGAACAGUCAGGUCAAACAGUCUGCAACAGUCAGGAACAGUCAGGAACAGUCAGGAACAGUCAGAAACAGUCAGGAACAGUCAGGUCAAACAGUCAGAAACAGUCAGGAACAGUCAGGAACAGUCAGGAACAGUCAGGAACAGUCAGGUCAAACAGUCAGGAACAGUCAGGAACAGUCAGGAACAGUCAGGUCAAACAGUCAGAAACAGUCAGGAACAGUCAGGAACAGUCAGGUCAAACAGUCAGAAACAGUCAGGAACAGUCAGGUCAAACAGUCAGAAACAGUCAGAAACAGUCGGGUCAAACAGUCAGAAACAGUCAGGAACAGUCAGAAAUAGUCAGAAACAGUCAGGUCAAACAGUCAGAAACAGUCAGAAACAGUCAGAAACAGUCAGGAACAGUCGGGUCAAACAGUCAGGAACGGUCAGGAACAGUCAGGAACAGUCAGGAACAGUCAGGAACGGUCAGGUCAAACAGUCAGGAACAGUCAGGAACAGUCAGGAACAGUCAGGAACAGUCAGAAACAGUCAGGAACAGUCAGAAACAGUCAGGAACAGUCAGGAACAGUCAGGUCAAACAGUCAGGAACAGUCAGGAACAGUCAGGAACAGUCAGGAACAGUCAGAAACAGUCGGGUCAAACAGUCAGGAACAGUCAGGAACAGUCAGGAACAGUCAGAAACAGUCAGAAACAGUCGGGUCAAACAGUCAGGAACAGUCAGGAACAGUCAGAAACAGUCGGGUCAAACAGUCUGCAACAGUCAGGAACAGUCAGGAACAGUCAGGAACAGUCAGGAACAGUCAGAAACAGUCGGGUCAAACAGUCAGGAACAGUCAGGAACAGUCAGAAACAGUCGGGUCAAACAGUCUGCAACAGUCAGGAACAGUCAGGAACAGUCAGAAACAGUCAGGAACAGUCAGGUCAAACAGUCAGAAACAGUCAGAAACAGUCAGAAACAGUCAGGUCAAACAGUCAGAAACAGUCAGGAACAGUCAGGAACAGUCAGGUCAAACAGUCAGGAACAGUCAGGAACAGUCAGGAACAGUCAGGUCAAACAGUCAGAAACAGUCAGGAACAGUCAGGAACAGUCAGAAACAGUCAGGUCAAACAGUCAGAAACAGUCAGGAACAGUCGGGUCAAACAGUCUGCAACAGUCAGGAACAGUCAGGAACAGUCAGAAACAGUCAGGAACAGUCAGAAACAGUCAGGAACAGUCAGAAACAGUCAGAAACAGUCAGGAACAGUCAGAAACAGUCGGGUCAAACAGUCACACAGCUGUACAACAGUCAUAUAAAACGACACUAACACUCAGCAGUCUGAGAUAAUCAAGGAAAAAGUCACAUUAAAGGGACAGUCCGUCAUUUUAGAUCAGGGGGUCUGUGAGCGACAUGACUCCAGGAGGUGAAGGAGAAUCUACGACAGGUGAUGGUCAGCUCUGCUGGGUCAGAGGGAACAGAUUCUGAUAAUUCAGUCGGAAACAAAUUAAACUGGUAAAUAAAGAAAGAGGGAAAAAGUGAGCAUGAAACGACAGACAGACAAAGAAUUAAACUAAGAUCAAUAACUGAAUCGAUAAAAGAGCAGAAGAAGACUAAGGCGACGUUCAGACUGCAGGUCAUUCUGAUGUUUUAACCAUCUGUGACUCAUAUCUGAUGUUUUCAUCUUAGUGUGAACAGGUCAGUUCUGAUUGGUUCUGAUCCGACCCAGGCCUCUUCUGUAUGUGGAUAUAAAUCAGAUAUGUAUCUGAUGUGACUGCAGUGUGACGCUCAGGUCGCGUUCAUCCGACCUUUACGUCAUCAAUAUGAGACAAACGUCACCAUUGUUCAACAACACAAACAGGCGUGGAAAGCAGUUUGUGCUUUGUGCACAUGAGGGUCACUUCACGGACGCAUUCGUUGUUGUAACGUGAACGACCGCACAAAAAGAUCGGAUUUAACAAAAACUCUGAGCUGUGCAUCAGAACCUGCAGAGUGGACGUAGAUCCUUACUGACUGUUUUACAUAUUCAGAAAUUAAUGUAGUUCAGCUUAUUUAAAGCUCCUAUAAGGAGUUUUUGACGUUUAUGAACUCGACUGAAAUUCAUGUUGAUGCUUUUAUAAUAAUAUACAAACACAAACAAAACCAUCAUAGAGGAGACCGAACAUCUGAACAUUUUCAGUGUGUGAAACCCGAGCGUGGGUGAAGGUUCGAGUCUUACAGCUGAACAAACAGAAAUGUGUUUAGAGUUCCCUUCAUUACAGCCUCACGAUGAAUGACUAAUGUGACUGUUACCAGGAUGAGAUAAAUCAAUACUACAGCAUGUCCACAGGGGG